rnacentral:lncRNA from 1 species
UCCAGCGCUGCUUCUGGCUGGAAGGUCUGAGGCUGUGUAGGGAGGAGGGAGAGGCCUCUGUCUUCCUCCCUUCCCCACCCGCCUCCCCUGGAGAGCAGGGAACGGAACAAAGCAUCCCUGGGACCGGCUUGCACCUGCUCAGAAGCCGUGAUGCGUCCACGCCAUCUUCACAGGACUGCCUCAUUUGCCCUCACAAGGCGAUCGUGUCAAUACGACAGUUAUCUGCAUUUUACAGGUUGGGGAGUCCUGCCCGCCUCUCCCAGGAAGCUCCAGCGCCCCCUUCCCUGAAUCCCAGCCUGCAGAGCUUCUCUUCCAGACGCAGGUGCCACCGUUCGCGAUGCUGGGAGCAGAGCCGCCCUGGUCGAUGUCGGGAAAACCUCUCCGUCUUGGUCUGUCUGCACGCUCUCAGUCACAAGCAGGAAAACAGCCUCAGCAUUAAUCCUGGGCAAUAAAUUGCGGUAGACGCACUGCAGGAAAAAUCAGGGCCUGCCCCGUCUCAGCUCUGGGAUUGGGGUCCUGAGUGAUGGAGCAGACGGAAGCCCCCUCGGGAGUCCAGCGGCCCGGGUCGUUACUCUAGGACUAAAGUCCUCACGGAUGAAAAGGCUUAAUUUUUCACUCAGGUGUGAAACAGACCAGGGCUUUCAGCCCUUCUUCUGCUGCAUGUGCAUGACGGAUGCCGGUCAAGUGUGCAGCAGACACACUCCUGGGGGCUGAUGCGGACUCGACAAGCCCAGAAAGGUUCCACCGGGGAGUGAAUAGAGACGGCAGCCCCUGAACACCAGGAUGGACGGCUCUGCUGUGAAGGACUCACCACCCGGACACGAGGCUCCUCCCCAGCCCCUCCCCUGCCUCCCCUGGUGCUCUUGGCUCUCCCUGUGGGCUGCCCCUCCCCACAUUCUGUCCCUUUGGGCCAGGUGGGGCCCUCGCCUUUUUGUACACGUAAAUCACGUGAUGGGGCCCACAUAGUAAACAGACAUCCUCCCUAGGACAGCACUCUGUGGGGUAUGGGUCACAUGACCUCAUCAGGGCCCAUCGGAGCAAGAUCAGGACCACUGCAGAAGCUACUGGGGAAGGACUGUGCUCUUUCUUAAGCACAAGUGAGCUGGGAGGUGCUGCAGCAUUGAUGGGGUCACAGCCAGAGGGGAUUCCGGGGCUCCCAGGGGACAGCAUGUGGGGCCUGAGAUGGAAGCAGCACAGGAGGGAAGAGCUGAGAGCCAGAGAGAGAGAGAGCAGGAGAGAGCACGGCGGAGAGAGAGAGAGAGCCAGAGAAAG